rnacentral:rRNA from 1 species
AACGAACGCUGGCGGCAUGCCUAACACAUGCCAGUCGAACGAGACCUUCGGGUCUAGUGGCGCACGGGGGGGUAACGCGUGGGAACCUGCCCUUAGGUUCGGAAUAACGCCCCGAAAGGGGUGCUAAUACCGGAUAAUGUCUUCGGACCAAAGAUUUAUCGCCUUUGGAUGGGCCCGCGUUGGAUUAGCUAGUUGGUAGGGUAAAAGCCUACCAAUGCGACGAUCCAUAGCUGGUCUGAGAGGAUGAUCAGCCACACUGGGACUGAGACACGGCCCAGACUCCUACAGGAGGGAGCAGUGGGGAAUAUUGGAAAGUGGGCGAAAGGCUGAUGCAGCAAUGCCGCGUGAGUGAUGAAGGCCUUAGGGUUGUAAAGCUAUUUUACACGGGACGAUAAUGACAUUACCGGGAGAAUAAGCUCCGGCUAACUCCGUG